AUAAAAAGUGUGUUCUUUUGCUACUCGGAGUCAUCUCUGUCCUGAUUACAGAGCAACCCCUGCACUUUGGAUCAUUAAACCACUUGACUGAUUGCAUCGCACUCCAUCUCCGUGCUUUCGUGAGUGGUAUCUCCCGGACAUAGGGCUCAUUGGAUCCUACAUUGGUACAUUGGCCGGGAAUCUGUCCUACUCAUGGAACUGGUGACCGGAGACUGGAGGAUAGCUCAAGCAGAUACCACGGUUGUCUCUGUCUGCAUAUUGUCUAAAUGUUUGUUUAGUUUUUCUUGGUUCACUGAUUCUGUGCUGCCACUGGGAAAUUUGGUUUCAGUUUGCAACUGAGCGAGAGAGUUGCCAAUUGGAGGUAGCCAUAAGUGGCAAGUAGAUUUGUCUGAAUGUCACAAGCUACAGAUUCCUGGAGGACAUUCCAGACUCCGUUUGGAAAGUUGGAACUGAGAAGCCCACCUGGGACAAUAUCCAAAAACUCAUGACAGUGUUCUUCAUGACCAGAGAGUGAGAGAGGAUAAUGCAGGAAGCCAGAAAGAAUGUCCCCUCAGAAACAGGGCACCAUCGAUUAACCAGGCUGUCACUGACAGUGGAUUUUCCUUGACUAGACCUGACUGUGACUACUAAUACAGCAGGAGGUAAGGAUCACCUGAAGGUCUGCCACUAGAUUCUGCUGGCAGGUGUCAAGUGGGUUGCAGGAUGACCCACCAAUUUGACCAAGGUCAGAGAUGAGUGGGUGCUGCCAUGGUGGACAACACAAAUGUCAUUUGUUAUGGCUGAACCUCUACCUCUCAGCACAUCAGCACAGAUGCCUUUGCCACAGCCCACGUCCAAGGGGUUACAUACCAAGAAAGAAAAAAAAACACAGAAAAUCUUGAGCCUGUUGGAUGCCCUAGUGAAGUCGGCAACUUGUUUGUAGAUACUUUCCCUGGAUGGGUUGAGGCUUUCCCCAUCAAGCAGGAAAUAACUACUGUGGUAGCCAAGAAGAUAUUAGAAGAAAUCUUCCUGAGGUUUGGGGUGUCCAAGGUAAUUGGAUUGGACAAUGGUCCUGCUUUUGCUUCUAAGGAAUGCCAGAGACCCCUCACCAUUUCCAGACUGGUGACUGGGUCUACAUCCAGAGGCAUCAGGCACAGUCACUGGAACCCUGAUGGAAGGGACCCUUCCUGGUGCUGUUAACCACUCAGAAAGACCUUUCAGUGGACUGUAUUGCAGCCCCGGUGCAUGCAUCCCAUGUGAAACCUGCAGAUGCCUCACUCCCUGGGGACUCCUGCUGCCCCCAUGUGCUGGUCUGUCAAACCUGGACUGUGGUUUCUACUGGAACUGGAGAUGAGGUUUCCUCCAUGACUGCCUCCAAACCUCUCGACACCUGGUGGCCCGACCUCACUUUUGACCUGGUGGCAGGACUUGACUUGUGGGACAUACCCAUCCAUGAUGGGAGUUCUGGUGGAAUCAAACUGCCCAUGUGAGAGAAAAAGGGCUCUGGGCUGGGAGUGGGGGGCGAUAAGAAGUGCAUUCCUUGUACAGAGGUGUCACUUGUGGGAGACCCCCCCAAUUAGGUUUACCCUCAAUGGAAAAAAGCAGGCAGAAGUUCA